rnacentral:rRNA from 1 species
UACGGGAGGCAGCAGUGGGGAAUAUUGCACAAUCGUAGGAAACUCUGAUGCAGCGACGCCGCGUGAGUGACGAAGUGUUUCGGCAUGUAAAGCUCUAUCAGCAGGGAAGAAAAUGACGGUACCUGACUAAGAAGCCCCGGCUAACUACGUGCCAGCAGCCGCGGUAAU